UCCCGCUUAGCUCAGUUGGUAGAGCGCGUCACUAGUAGCAGUAAUGACGAGGUCAGUCGUUCAAGUCGGCUAGUGGGAA
rnacentral:tRNA from 1 species